GCAAGCGGCAUUUCUCGGCGAUCUGUCUGGCAGCACUGCUUCAAGUUGAAUACACCGGAUUCAUUCAGGAACAAAGCAAGUCUUUACAAGACACCUUUCCUGAAGCUUCAUCCUGUGGAGAUUACUGGAUGUACCUUGCGUUAUGUCACCUCGUCCCAGCCUUGAACACAUCCUGACAACUACGUCGUGAACAAAGAUCCGAUCUCAUAAUGGGAAAACAUUCUGCUGUCAGAUGCUCACGGUCACUUUGAGGUGCAGGUGCCCUCGGUGCGAUCAGGGUUGACGUAUCCCAGAAGCCUUGGCUGCAAUUCCGCAAGCUUCACGUCAGCUGUAAAUGGCCAAGGGAAUUGGGACUUAAAUCUGUUCCUCAUCCACAUGACACCCUCCAGCCAAAAGUCUAAGUCUUUAAGUGAAAACACACGCCUGUAGACUCAGCGUGAUGUGUUAUCUCUUGCCUUUGAAGCCCAGCUGUAGAGCAGGCCCUGGCAAGCUGAGGUGAGAGAGAGAACGACGUCAACAAGGCCAAAGUGCGGAUGCAGACAUGGAGGUCAAUGAGACACAACAUAAACCCAUCAAACUGCCCUCUCAGACAGCCAGUGCCAAAGACUAAUAUGAGCGUAUUAUCCACAUCAUGAAGUAAUGUGGCUGAAAGGCAGUAUUAACCGUCAGUAGCCUCUUCAACUUGCGGCCUCUUUCACUCACUCUUCUUCCUAAUAGUUCUAAUGCCAAAGGCUCACUGUGAUGUCCAAGACAUGAAACAGAUGGGCAGUUCGUAUGCCAGAGAAGGGCUGGGCGAUAGCUAAAGCAGAUUAAUAUAGAUACAUAGAGAUUAAUCUAAAUGUUUGUACAACAGUUCUUUCUGGUUCUCAAACCUGAUUCCAGAUCUGAUUCUUUCCAGCCAUGUGAUAUUCUACCAAUAUCACCACAGGAACCGUUUGAAUCACUCCGCUGUCAGCAUUCUCACAGCGAGUGUCAUGCCGGAUGAGCAAACUCAUCAUAUUUAUAUAGAUACUACUGUUAUUUUGAAAUGGAAUGUAGUUUUAUGAGUUUUUUAGGCGAGAAGUUGUUUAGACCUCAGAUAUGCGAUUCAUAUGUAAAGCACCUAUUUGAAAAUUUGUUUAGAGGCUUUUGGAGAUGUGAGCUCCAGGCCAUCAGCGACCGUUCAGUGCUCAUGUACCCACAGAGAACAGCUUCAUCUUGGCCAGUCCUUCAGGAAUUUGUGUAGAUAGUGUUUAAACAUGAGGUAUAAUUCUUUUUGGGUAUAUCAAAUGGGCAGUCUUUGGUCUUAUUAAUCUAUUACUUGUUCCAGAGCAAAUAGAUUUGGCUUAAGGGUUAUAUUAAGAUUCAUAACUUUAUAUUUACAUUGAAAUUAAGUCCUGUACUAACCAGAGCGCUUCUUUUGUACGUUUGACUACUGUUUGAACUUUUUGCUUGUUUAUUUCUUAUUUUACUUCUGUUAUAAUGGCUAUUGUUGUUAAUUUUAAAAUUAUUGUUCAAUAAUUAAUAUUUUAUAUAAAUAACGUCAUAUUUUUUGGUAUUGAGAAAGGGUCUGUUAAUGAUUUUGACUUCAGUGAAAGUCAUUUUACAUUUUCGAAAGACAUUAAUACGCCAUUAGAUGGCGGCAAAGACAGCCUUUUUGAGUGAGUCAGUCAG